GUAUAUAUGCAUACAAAAAAAUUCGGACGAUAAAGAAAAUUAGCAUAGCCCUUGCGUAAGAAUGACACGAAAAAUGGUAAAGGGUACCGUUCUACAUUUUU